UGGGGAAUAUUGCACAAUGGGCGCAAGCCUGAUGCAGCCAUGCCGCGUGUAUGAAGAAGGCCUUCGGGUUGUAAAGUACUUUCAGCGGGGAGGAAGGGAGUAAAGUUAAUACCUUUGCUCAUUGACGUUACCCGCAGAAGAAGCACCGGCUAACUCCGUGCCAGCAGCCGCGGUAAUACGGAGGGUGCAAGCGUUAAUCGGAAUUACUGGGCGUAAAGCGCACGCAGGCGGUUUGUUAAGUCAGAUGUGAAAUCCCCGGGCUCAACCUGGGAACUGCAUCUGAUACUGGCAAGCUUGAGUCUCGUAGAGGGGGGUAGAAUUCCAUGUGUAGCGGUGAAAUGCGUAGAGAUGUGGAGGAAUACCGGUGGCGAAGGCGGCCCCCUGGACAAAGACUGACGCUCAGGUGCGAAAGCGUGGGGAGCAAACAGGA
rnacentral:rRNA from 1 species